UACUGCGCUAGAAAGAAACCCAGAAGAUUAUGAUGCUCUUUACAACUGGGCAUUGGUUCUUCAGGAAAGUGCAGAUAAUGUUAGUCCAUAUUCUACUUCGCCUUCUAAAGAUGCCUUGCUAGAGGAGGCUUGUAAAAAGUAUGAUGAGGCUACUCAUCUCUGCCCAAAACUUCAUGAUGCUUUCUACAACUGGGCAAUAACAAUAUCUGAUCGAGCAA